CCUACGGGAGGCAGCAGUGGGGAAUAUUGCACAAUGGGGGAAACCCUGAUGCAGCGACGCCGCGUGAGUGAAGAAGUAUUUCGGUAUGUAAAGCUCUAUCAGCAGGAACGAGACAAGACGGUACCUGACUAAGAAGCCCCGGCUAACUACGUGCCAGCAGCCGCGGUAAUCCGUAGGGGGCAAGCGUUAUCCGGAAUCACUGGGUGUAAAGGGAGCGUAGACGGCUGUGCAAGCCUGAAGUGAAAGGCGGGGGCCCAACCCCUGGACUGCUUUGGGAACUGUACGGCUGGAGUGCAGGAGAGGUAAGUGGAAUUGCUAGGGUAGCGGUGAAAUGCGUAGAUAUUAGGAGGAACACCAGUGGCGAAGGCGGCUUACUGGACUGUAACUGACGUUGAGGCUCGAAAGCGUGGGGAGCAAACAGGAUUAGAUACCCGAGUAGUC
rnacentral:rRNA from 1 species